rnacentral:rRNA from 1 species
GAUGAACGCUAGCGGCAGGCCUAAUACAUGCAAGUCGAACGGUGUCUUCGGACAUAGUGGCGCACGGGUGCGUAACACGUAUGCAACCUACCUUACAUUGGGGGAUAGCCUUUCGAAAGGGAGAUUAAUACCGCAUAAGACAGUAACUAGGCAUCUAGUAGCUGUUAAAGAUUUAUCGAUGUAAGCUGGGCAUGCGUCCAAUUAGCUAGUUGGUGAGGUAACGGCUCACCAAGGCAAUGAUUGGUAGGGGAACUGAGAGGUCAAUCCCCCACACGGGCACUGAGAUACGGGCCAGACUCUUACGGGAGGCAGCAGUAGGGAAUAUUGGGCAAUGGACGCAAGUCUGACCCAGCCAUGCCGCGUGCAGGAUGAAGGCGUUAUGCGUUGUAAACUGCUUUUAUACAGGAAGAAACGACUCUUGCGAGAGGCAUUGACGGUACUGUAUGAAUAAGCACCGGCUAACUCCGUGCCAGCCGCCGCGGUAAUAC